GAUGAACGCUGGCGGCGUGCUUAACACAUGCAAGUCGAACGGAAAGGCCCCUGCUUGCAGGGGUACUCGAGUGGCGAACGGGUGAGUAACACGUGGGUGAUCUGCCCAGCACUUCGGGAUAAGCCUGGGAAACUGGGUCUAAUACCGGAUAGGACGAUGGUUUGGAUGCCAUUGUGGAAAGUUUUUGCGGUGUGGGAUGAGCUCGCGGCCUAUCAGCUUGUUGGUGGGGUAAUGGCCUACCAAGGCGUCGACGGGUAGCCGGCCUGAGAGGGUGUACGGCCACAUUGGGACUGAGAUACGGCCCAGACUCCUACGGGAGGCAGCAGUGGGGAAUAUUGCACAAUGGGCGCAAGCCUGAUGCAGCGACGCCGCGUGGGGGAUGACGGCCUUCGGGUUGUAAACUCCUUUCGCUAGGGACGAAGCGCAAGUGACGGUACCUGGAGAAGAAGCACCGGCUAACUACGUG
rnacentral:rRNA from 1 species